rnacentral:misc_RNA from 1 species
GGUAAAAAUGGUAAAAAAA